UGGGGGAUAUUGCACAAUGGGCGAAAGCCUGAUGCAGCGACGCCGCGUGGGGGAUGAAGGCUUUCGGGUUGUAAACCUCUUUCGCUAUCGAACAAGGCCCGCUUAGGGUGGGUUGAGGGUAGGUGGAGAAGAAGCGCCGGCUAACUACGUGCCAGCAGCCGCGGUAAUACGUAGGGCGCGAGCGUUGUCCGGAAUUAUUGGGCGUAAAGGGCUUGUAGGCGGCUUGUUGCGCCUGCUGUGAAAACGCGGGGCUUAACUGCGGGCGUGCAGUGGGUACGGGCAGGCUUGAGUGUGGUAGGGGUGACUGGAAUUCCAGGUGUAGCGGUGGAAUGCGCAGAUAUCUGGAGGAACACCGAUGGCGAAGGCAGGUCACUGGGCCAUUACUGACGCUGAGGAGCGAAAGCAUGGGUAGCGAACAGG
rnacentral:rRNA from 1 species